rnacentral:lncRNA from 1 species
UUAGGGCAACUCGAUGGUAGCCAGUCGGAGUUUGCUAGGUUACAUAUGCAAGUCCUUUUGAAAUCUCAAACUUCUUUGUGGUGAUGAGCUUCUGCUCAUCUUGAUUGAUUCCUCUACAGUGAAGGGGUGUGUCUUCUGAUGCUUUCAUUUUCUCUUUCAUACUGUGGAGUUCAUCUUUGUCUUGGAGAACAUCACCAUGUGCCUGCUAUUGUUUAUGUGGUUGUAUGGAGUGUUCCUUCAACUAAUUAGGCAACGCCCUUAAAUCUAACAAUCAAACUCCGAGAGAAUCAUUUAUACUUGAACCAGAAAGGCCAAUUCUGUGUCUCAAUUUUGUUUAGGAAUAUUAGCAAGUUGAGUAACCUUGUUCUUUCUAGAAUAGGGACAUUCCUGGUUUUUGUGUCUGUGGUUUCUACUUUUAUUAUGCUGCUUAUUUUUGUGGUUUCAUUUGAACAAGAUGUCACUCUUGUUUCCGUCGUUAUACAUAUUUUCGAAGCCAUAGCAGCAUGUUGUGCUUUGUCAGCACAUUUGUGCAUGUGUGAGGUCGCAGAUGAAGAAGCACUGAAUGCUCAUUAUAUUCUCCUCUUCUCUGAUCUUCUAUACACAUAUAUAAGAUGUGUCUUAUUUCCUUGUGUUUCCUAAGGAUCUUUCUUGAUUGAUUGUUUGACAGUGACUAUUAUGUAAAAAUGUUUUCAGUUGCUGUUUAGUACGGAUGCCUCCAUGGUUGUAUAGGCAUCCAUGGUUCUGUGAGGAGGUUAUCUAUGUCGUUCUAUUUUAUAUACUCCCUCCGUUCCUAAAUAUUUGUCACGAAUUGCACAUGGUCAUGUUAGUUGUUUGUUUCUUUUGAUCAUAUUGAUGUUGAGUUGUGGGUUUACACAUUUUACCUUGAAAUGUUUAUAUGUGUGUCCAGUUGUUUUUGGAUGGUCUACGAUUUUGUUUGUGUUUAGUUUACAUUUCUCUCCUGAAGAUCUUGCUACCCAGUUGUAUUGCUAUAUUUCCUAUAAUAGGAAGUUAAUUAUAUUUUUACUGUUUUGGCAGCCCUAACAGAUAGACCGAGGUCUCUACUGGCUCGGAAGACUGGACUUGAGGCACAUGUAAAAUUAAUGUCUCUUGCUACUCUCGUGAUCUAUAUCCAGAGUGCAAGUCAGGUCUUGGAAUGCCCAGGUGAGACUGAUCAUUCCAUGGCCUCUGUUUUUCUUGCUGGGUGGAUUACACGUUACUUCCUUGGAUGUUUUAAGGUUAUUAUAUCCUUGCUCCCCUUUUUGUUGGCAAGCAUUCUCUCGGCUUCUGGCAACUUGAGUAAGAUGCAACACACUAAUGCUAUCUUAGUCUGGUUUGUUCUUGCAGAAAAUAAGUGAAGUGUGCAGACAGGCAGCAUGGAAACACUAAAGAGAGGCUUCAGACAAACUAAUAGCUGGAGUGAUUUCCUACAUGUAGUGACCGACUUGGAAGAAAUAAGUUUCAGCUAUUUCUAAAGAUAUUAUAUCAUAAGACUAUUCUUAGGUUAAGGUGUUUGGCUUGGACUAAUGUGUACAUGGCUGUAGUGGUUCCAGAUUUGUUACAAGCUCCUUGUGCUGAGGAUCGUCAAAAUGGUGAAGUUUCUAUUAUUUUCGGAACUAUUGAUUCACAUGCUGAAGUGUAAUUUACCACAUCCCUAAGACAGAACAUAUACAUUUUGCCGUACAGUCACUAAUCCUAUGUUAUCAAGUUUUAUCUUAGUAGCGUAUAACCAAUGUUUACAACUGUCCAAGUAGUGUGUUUUGAAAAUAGAAGCAACGCGGCUCACACUAAGCAAUCACAUGUUUUAUCUCGAGGAAUUUUUUAAUUUUGAUAUAUUAUUUCUUACACAGCUACAAUUGGUACAAAAUACUGCUUAUUACUUUAAGCCUUUAUUGGCAUAAUUUUGUUGUGUUCUUUUCUUUAUUUAUUUUCCAUCAACAUCAAGUUGGAACCUGUUCUUUUUUUCCCAUAAUGAUUUUGAUGGUAAUUGGUCAAGUGUAUUUCUAGCUGGAAUUGCAUGUAUGUCUCAGAUUUAC